AGAGUGAUCCUGCUCAGACGAACGCUGCGGCGUGCUUAACACAUGCAAGUCGUACGGUAAGGCCCUUUCGGGGGUACACGAGUGGCGAACGGGUGAGUAACACGUGAGUAACCUGCCCACAACUUUGGGAUAACGCUAGGAAACUGGUGCUAAUACUGGAUAUGUGCUCCUGCUGCAUGGUGGGGUUGGAAAGCUCCGGCGGUUGUGGAUGGACUCGCGGCCUAUCAGCUUGUUGGUGGGGUAGUGGCCUACCAAGGCGGCGACGGGUAGCCGGCCUGAGAGGGUGACCGGCCACAUUGGGACUGAGAUACGGCCCAGACUCCUACGGGAGGCAGCAGUGGGGAAUAUUGCACAAUGGGCGCAAGCCUGAUGCAGCAACGCCGCGUGCGGGAUGACGGCCUUCGGGUUGUAAACCGCUUUCAACAGGGACGAAGCUUUUGUGACGGUACCUGCAGAAGAAGCACCGGCUAACUACGUG
rnacentral:rRNA from 1 species